AGGCGGCGGAUGGCGGGCUUGGUGAUGCCCUGGAUGUUGUCGCGCAGCACUUUGCGAUGGCGCUUGGCGCCGCCUUUGCCCAGGCCUUUUCCUCCCUUGCCGCGACCAGACAUAGUUAAAUUCUUACAAGCUUUCAGUAGGAAGCUGGUGAACUAAGAAUUCGCUGUGUUAUUAUAGGCUCUUAUCGGACCUGGUUGAGAACUUCAAGUGGGCGGGGACCAAAGGCUUCUUUUGCUCAGCCCAUUUCAGGGCGGUGACUCUGGAGUACUGUAUAUGGCACAUGCAGACAUGGAGUCUCUGAGGUUUCCCCAGAUUUGAGUAUACUGCUUUUAUUAUAUGUUAUAUUGUUCUAUAAGGAUUUUAGCAAGGAGUUACAUUUUUAUGGACCAGUACAUGGAGGAUUAAAACAAAUACCUCUGUAAAGUAUUUAGGUUUAAAACAUCUUUUAAAAAAAUUCACCAGGUGCCAAAAGACCAUGUGAUUAUUGUUUCUUAAAACCUAAAAAUUCAAACGUGAAAGAUACUUUAAAAAAUAAAUUACAAGAGAGUUUUUUUUAAUAGAAAUUGAAAUAGAAUCGGUAUAUGUAGAAUUUAUUAAAAUUCUACUUGUCAACAUAGGUCAAGCCCCUUUGCCUAGUCAUAUAGAUGCACUUGGCUAUUCCCUGUCUGGAAUCCAUUCAUUGCUGGUUUGGAUUGCUAUAUUUUUUAUUAGAGCGGGAAAACUGCAUGAUGCUUGUAUUCUAUUUUGCCACCCCUACAUAGUGUAUGCUCUCGUUCAAAGUAAUGAAUUCAGAGAUAUUGGAACUGGUCAUUUUCCUGUUCCCCCUUUGUACUUAUAAAACUUGUCUGAUAAUGCUGCCCACAGUUUGUUUGCUUGGGUACUACAUUAGAAGAGUUUGUUUCAAAGAAGUACUACAUAAAUAUUUUUACCUG
ensembl:processed_transcript